rnacentral:rRNA from 1 species
AGUGAACGCUGGCGGUAGGCCUAACACAUGCAAGUCGAACGGCAGCACAGUAAGAGCUUGCUCUUACGGGUGGCGAGUGGCGGACGGGUGAGGAAUACAUCGGAAUCUACUUUUUCGUGGGGGAUAACGUAGGGAAACUUACGCUAAUACCGCAUACGACCUACGGGUGAAAGCAGGGGAUCUUCGGACCUUGCGCGAUUGAAUGAGCCGAUGUCGGAUUAGCUAGUUGGCGGGGUAAAGGCCCACCAAGGCGACGAUCCGUAGCUGGUCUGAGAGGAUGAUCAGCCACACUGGAACUGAGACACGGUCCAGACUCCUACCGGAGGCAGCAGUGGGGAAUAUUGGACAAUGGGCGCAAGCCUGAUCCAGCCAUACCGCCUGGGUGAAGAAGGCCUUCGUGUUGUAAAGCCCUUUUGUUAGGAAAGAAAAGCAGCAGGUUAAUACCCCGCUGUUCUGACGUUACCCAAAGAAUAAGCACCGGCUAACUUCGUG